rnacentral:lncRNA from 1 species
AGCUUUCUCUCCCUCCUUGCGGGCAAGCCUCAAGCCCCGCCCACUCCUGCCUCCCAGGUCUGACGGGGACUCCGGCUCGGAGCUGGGCCCCCGAGGCCGCCAGGGAGGGGGCCGGUGAAGGUUAUACGAGAGGCUCCAUCUGUCCUUAUUGAAAGUGCUCUUAACGCAGGGACCAGCCGUCUUGCUGACGCCUGGGCCACCGAGCACAGGGACAGGACGGGGUUGCUGGAGGUGCAAGCUGGGAGAAAGCAGAGAACUGACUCCAUGCAGAGUUGGGAUUAAGAGCCCCUGGACAAGGGGCCGAGGCAGUGAAGGACGUCCAUCACUCAUCUGCCACUAUCCUCCUCACAUUUAAUCCUCACAACACCCCUGUGAGGUUUAUCCGCUUCACCUGUUGCUGGGGAACACUGCUCUCCGGGGGACUUGGGGGACGACACUGUAAACAUGACUUCCUGGCCUGAUGGUGGCAGGGCUGUGUGUGCGAGUCACUGUCCAGGGACAGCA